CCUGGGCAUAGUCGCUUGUUCUCCGCCCGCGGUGGACCAGCUGCGUAACGGUUCACACACUGAUGGCGCCUGGAGGUUUGGCGAAAUACUGACAGGAUGCGACGUCAACGGGAGCGCAGGGCCAAGAUACCCUUUAUAUCAAACCGUCUAUCCUGGAGCAGAAAAAUCCUGUCUUCAUUGCUAUAGCUACAGAUUCAGAAAUGAGCAUGUAACAAAUUCAGGCCAAAGAGAGGUCCUAAGCUUCCCUGAUGGUAUUUGGCAUCUGUUUUUAAGAAAAGGAUGAAGGCCGGUCACAUUGGCUCACGACUGUAAUCCCAGCACUUUGGGAGGCCCAGGCGGGCAGAGGACUUGAGGGCCUAAACCCGGCCAACAUGACGAAACCCCAUCUCUACUAAAAAUACAAAACUUAGCCAGGCGUGGCAGUGCUCACCAGCUACUUGGGAGGUUGAGGCACAAGAAUUGCUUGAACCCAGGAGGCAGAGGUUGCAGUGAGCUGAGAUUGUGCCACUGCACUGUACUCCAGCCUGAGCAACAGAGCAUCCAAGAGGAUGCUGAUGCUCUUGGCAAUGGAAAUCAGAGAAACACUGUUCCUGAAAGCUUCUGUCACUCAAGAAUCCAUGAAACAUUCAUGAACUUCACAUCAGAAGCCAAGCCCAGAAAAUAUGGGUUUAAGGUUUGCCUAUAUGUCCAAUACAAGAGAAAAAAGAACAUUCCACUUCUUUAGAAGGUUCUACUUUGAUCUCCUGAUUCCAGUUGUGAAAAAAAAUUGUGCCUAAAGAAUAUAGUCCCUUUAUAGAAUUGUUUUGAAACCUACCACAGGUAUUUCUACACAGGUGCUAUUGUGGAGGUGCAUACCCAACAGUUUGAUAAUGUAGAGGAAGUGAUAGCUUUGUCUCGUGGAAUCUGGGUCGACCUCACAGAGGAGCUGUUAUUUGUUCUGGAUAUUGAACAGUGACAAGGAUUCAGUGGGAGAGAAAGAGGCGAGGAUUUUAAUGCAACUUGUUACACAAGAUGAACCCAAACAUAUUUGACUUUUUAUUUUCAGAAAAGCUUAAUACAUAGUUUUGAAUAUGGAUUGUCCCACAGGAUAAAUGCAUGAAAAAAGUUGGAAAAGAGAAAUUGAAUUACAUCCUAAUUGUAGUGUUUUCUCAGGCAGAUCAAUUUUAGAAAGAGAACAUUGACUUGGAAAACUGAAGAGUAAUUAUUCUAAAACGGUUGUAACAGUUUACUCCUUUUAUGUUUGCAAACUUCCAGGAUUAGUGAGUUGCAUAAAGUCACAUAAUUUAUUGCGUUGGUGCAAAAGUAAUUGUGGUUUUUGCCAUUAACAAAACCGCAAUUACUUUUGCAUCAGCCUAAUAUAAGUGAAUAAAUUAAUAUUAGAACACAGGUCUAAUUAAAAGGUUCUGCUGUGUUGUGUCCUGUGAUAACACAGAAAACAAACAAAUGGAUAAUUACAGAAAAAUUUUGGAUAUAAAAUUAGCAGGUAAUUUUCUCCCUCCUUUCCUUCCAUCUUUCCAUCCUUCUUUGCUUCCUUUGCUUUCUUCUUUUCCUUUGUUUUUUGUUUCUCUCUCUCUCUUUUUUUUUUUUUUUUUUUUUUUUUGCAAUUUGGAGAAGGAAGUACUUUAAAAGAAAAGUUAAAAGGCAGACAUAGAUAGCAUGAAGCCUAAUUGCAAGAUCUUUUUCAAACAUAUUAGUUUUAGGAAAUAGCACCUGAAUUUAAGUCCCUUAAAAUUGUCUAUGUCUUCACGUCCAAGUCUCUAUAUUUGCAGGGCUGUGUACAAUCUAGACUGAACAUGCUUGACCUAAAAACAGAAGUAAUACCUGGGGCAAAGCACGAUGUGCACCACAGUCUUCUCUCUUUAGUGUGUUAAGAUAAAGUUGAUUCCCAGAGUAGCCUGCCAUCACUAACUCUGAGGGAUGGUGGGCUAAUUUUGAUAGAAGGAGCAGAGGUGGUAGUUAGGAGGAAGGUGACUCAUCAUCAUUGUAUCAGCAGGCAUUGAUGACUGGAAAUAUCAGGGGGCACAGCCUGAAAGAGAAUGGCUUAAUUGGAAUUGAUAGUGGGAACUUGGAAAUCAAUACAUAUGCACUGAACAGAAAAUGGUAUGCUAUAAUCUACUAUACACUGUAUGUGAAACCCAAGCUCCAAAUUUUUCGGCCCAUGCAAUGUCCAGUAAAAUUUCUCUUAGUUACAUUAUAAUUGCAAUGUACAUGUAUUUGAGGAAAAAAAAAGUGAAAGAAAAAGUAACUAAAGAAAAGUGGAAAUGCAAAACUUUGUUUUUAUUAAUGUUAAAAUUUAUUUUGAUCAACUUGCUAUUCUUAAAAUUGACCAAUCUUCUUCCCUUCCUUGCCUCUUCCAUGGUUUAUAGGAUUAUUUUUCAGGGCUGAUCAGUUGGUGUUACAUGUGACUACUAUGCUUAAUGCUAUCUGGCUUCUAACUUUAAGCACUGAAAAAAAGUCCUUCGUAUUUCUCAGUGUGUGAUUGAACUGAGAUGACCAUCCUAAGCCUCCUCAUUACAUAAAUCCUUACCUUCUCCAGAAGCAACGAAUGGUGUUGAGAAUAGCAUAUGUUACUACUCAGCCAUAUUCCAUAGCCUUUUCUCCAAGAUAUUUUUCCAAAGUUGCCCCUUUUCUGAAUCCCUUGCAAGCAAACAAACAACAAAACAAUGGGUAAUAAAAUAAUUGUUUAACUUUCAUUUAUAUGCUCUGAGAUUGAUGUGAUUUUGAUAAAUAACUAUAUUAAAAGACAAAUGGGAGUGGUGAUUUUGUGAAAAGCCCAUGCCUCUGCCCAUGGAAUAUGUGGCUUGGCCUGGAGCUCUUAUUUUACUUAUAUAUUUCUAAGCAGAAUUAUUCAAGAAUGUCUCUUAUUACAGGUCUUGAAACUUGGACAGCCAACAGAAAGGAAGCUAAUAAAUAAAUUUGUCAGAACACGAUUCUCAGUUUCACUUAUUUUGAAUUAAAGGUAACCUGGAAAAUGGAUUAGGAAAACAGCCUAUAAUCAGAGGAGUGACCCCAGUGAGACCCUGUCAUUAAAACUUUAGUGUUGAGCCUGCAAACCUCUGUUCCUCUGAUUAGGCAAUUUACUCCAUUUCCACCUUUCUGUCUGCCAAAACAUUUAGUGGCAAAACAUUUUCUAAUUCUCUAGACUCAUAAAAUGUUGUUUUGAAAAAAAGUAAAACAGAAUGGAUUACCUUUUUAAGCUGUCUAUCAUAAUGUAAUCAGAAAACAUGAGGGAUUAAUAGAUAAUAUUGUAAAGAGGCAAAGGCAGCAGAUGUUAUUUAGAUGAGCAGAAGGUCACAGACCUCUGUUGAGGAUUGAAAGCUUGAGGUACGUGCCUUUGUUCCUCAGUGUGUGUGGAUCAGAGUGAUUACUGAUAUCAGUUAGCAACAUGGUGGAGGGGACAAACUGGGGCUGCAUUUUCACUAUGUUUAUUAUUGCUCAAGGUCAAAAAGUGACUGUGUAGUGCCUCAGUUUUUACAUCUUUGUGUUAUCAAUAUUUUUUUCUAUUACCUUACAAGUUUAUUUUGAUGCUGUAAUGAUGAGACAGUGUUUUGAAAAGUUCUAAAUAAAUAAAAGGGUAUUCUCUAACUUUUAAAUUCUGACUUUGAUAUUUUAAAACUAUAACAGAGUUUCAAAACAUAUGGAGAAAAAACCCAAAUAGAACUCAAAAGAGAAAUGGACAAAUCCGUAAUUUCCAUCAUUAUUAGGGAUUUCAACAUUCCUCUUCCAGUAAUUAAUAAAACAAGCAGACAGAAGUUUAGAAAAACUAUGCAAGACUUGAACAUACUGUUAACCAAAUUGGCCCAGUCCUCCAAUAGUGGAAAUAAAAUGAAAUACUAAAAUAGUCAAACAAAAGGAAGACAGGACAAGAGUUGAACAAGGAUAAAGAAUAGGUGUGACAAAUGAUACAAAUAACAAUCUGGUAAAGUGAAAACCAGCCAUAUCAAUAAUAUAGUAAAGGAAAAUAGUCUAAAUAGAACGGAAAUGUUUAAGAUUUGAAGACUGGAUAUAAACCAAGCUUCAAUGUGAUGAUAUAUACAAGACAGAUAUUAUAAACAUAAAGAUAUAAAAAAUUAAAAAUAAAAGUGUGAAAAUCUAUAUGAUACAAACACUAACCAUAAGAAUGCUGGAGUGGCAUAUUAUAUCAGACAAAGAGAGUAUUAAAGUAGAUAUAGAAGAACAUUACAUAUUGAUAAAAGAAAAUGCCAGUUAGGUCAAGUUAUUGAUGGUAUUUAUCA
rnacentral:lncRNA from 10 species